CCACCUUUUCCUACCUAUUAUCUACACAACUCACUCCUCCUAGGGACCUGGAUAGUGCUCUAUAUUCAGUUGAGAAAGAGAUGGAACAAUGGGGGAAACCAAAUUCAUUCCGCAACAAAAGCAGGCACUUUGAGAAAGAUUAGUUAAUCUCUUACACCCGUGUUUCAGUUUCAUUUAAUUCGAAGUUGAGAUCUAUGUUUGUGUGUAUGUGUAUAUUGAAGUUUAAGAUGUGGCCGACCAAUCGUUGUUUGAUGUGAAAACGAUUCCCUUGAUGAUGUGGUCGUUCAAGGGAUGUUAGCUGACAAGGUUGUUUCAGUAUAAAAAAUGUGUGUAUCCACUUAACGGUGGUGGUAUGUAGAAAAUGGCAAACCAUGUUAAUGCCAAUCGACGGUGGUCACUGGUGAUUGAUGGAGGAACCCGUAUGGUUGUUGGAAGAUAUGCAUGGUGAUAUAUGCUUUGUCUCUGGGAAAAAGUGAAGAAUGGUUCAGAAGGUUAUUAGGCAUUUCUGAAGUGCAUUGAACAGUACUGCUCAUAAAUUAUUACUCUACACAAUUGGAAUUGCAAGUAACCUUAUGUACAUGAUAUGCUCAUGUGUGAAAUGAGGCAGCGAAAGACAAUGUUAACGGAACUUGGUGUGCCUUUGACUUCUAUGAGUUAAACAACAAUGGGGUAGGUUUAACUUUUGUUAAACAAGUAAGUAUAUCCGCUGCUUUAACUGUUCUCUUUUUCAUUGAAUCACACAAUAAACAUCGAUAACAAAGCAACAUGAUUGGAAGCUCAACUUGCGUUGGUCACACCUUUGGUAGAAGAUUUAGAAGUAAAAAAAGAAAGAAGAAGCACACCA